GUUUACGGCUAUGCCACCCUGAACAUGCAUGAUCCUGUUUGAUCUCAGAAGCUAAGCAAGAUCGGGCCUGGUUAGUACUUGGAUGGGAGACCACCUAGGAAGAUGGAGUGCUGUAGGCG
rnacentral:rRNA from 1 species